UUCUGGACAGGUCAGCAUCAGUUUUGACCAUUGGAAAAGGAGUCUGGAAAGGUAGCACCUCUUGAGGUGUGUUAUAGUCUGAACUCAUAUACAGUGGUUGGGACUGAGGAACUCAGCGUGAUCAGGUCUUUUGGCUUGGUUUGGAGGUUUCGGCCUCACACAACGCGCUUUGGAUGCUGGCGUAAUGGCUUUAAUCGACCCGUCUUGAAACACGGACCAAGGAGUCUAACAUACAUGCAAGUGUUUGGGUGAAAAACCCAUGCGCGAAAUGAAAGUGAAAGUUAAGAACCCUCAAGGGUGCAUUGACGCCUGGCCCAGAACAAUUUGUGACGGAGCUACGGUAGAGCAUGCAUGUUGGGACCCGAAAGAUGGUGAACUAUGCCUGAAUAGGGUGAAGCCAGAGGAAACUCUGGUGGAAGCUCGCAGCGAUUCUGACGUGCAAAUCGAUCGUCAAAUUUGGGUAUAGGGGCGAAAGACUAAUCGAACCGUCUAGUAGCUGGUUCCUGCCGAAGUUUCCCUCAGGAUAGCAGAGACUCGCAUCAGUUUUAUGUGGUAAAGCGAAUGAUUAGAGGCAUGGGGGUUGAAACAACCUUCACCUAUUCUCAAACUUUAAAUAUGUAAGAAGCCCUUGUUACUUGAUUGAACGAGGGCAUGCGAAUGAGAGUCUUUAGUGGGCCAUUUUUGGUAAGCAGAACUGGCGAUGCGGGAUGAACCGAUCGCGAGGUUAAGGUGCCGGAAUACACGCUCAUCAGACACCACAAAAGGUGUUAGUUCAUCUAG
rnacentral:rRNA from 1 species